UACAGAGGUCCCAAGCGUUGUUCGGAUUCACUGGGCGUAAAGGGUGCGCAGGUGGUCGGGUAAGUCUGACGUGAAAUCCCGCAGCUUAACUGCGGAAUGGCAUUGGAUACUAUUCGGCUAGAGGGUUGGAGGGGGGACUGGAAUUCUCGGUGUAGCAGUGAAAUGCGUAGAUAUGCGGAGGAACACCGAUGGCGAAGGCAAUCCCCUGGGCCUGCACUGACGCUCAUGCACGAAAGCGUGGGGAGCAAGCAGG
rnacentral:rRNA from 1 species